GUGAGGAAUAUUGGUCAAUGGGCGAGAGCCUGAACCAGCCAAGUCGCGUGAAGGAAGAAGGAUCUAUGGUUCGUAAACUUCUUUUGCAGGGGAAUAAAGUGCAGGACGUGUCCUGUUUUGUAUGUACCCUGAGAAUAAGGAUCGGCUAACUCCGUGCCAGCAGCCGCGGUAAUACGGAGGAUCCGAGCGUUAUCCGGAUUUAUUGGGUUUAAAGGGUGCGCAGGCGGGUUGAUAAGUCAGCGGUGAAAGUUUGCAGCUUAACUGUAAAAUUGCCGUUGAAACUGUCGAUCUUGAGUGCAAAUGAGGUAAGCGGAAUGUGUUGUGUAGCGGUGAAAUGCUUAGAUAUAACACAGAACACCGAUUGCGAAGGCAGCUUACUGGGAUGCAACUGACGCUCAUGCACGAAAGCGUGGGGAUCAAACAGGAUUAGAAACCCGUGUAGUCC
rnacentral:rRNA from 1 species